rnacentral:rRNA from 1 species
UACGAGGGGGGCGAGCGUUGUUCGGAAUUAUUGGGCGUAAAGGGUGCGUAGGCGGUUUGGUAAGUCUUAUGUGAAAUCUACAGGCUCAACUUGUAGUCUGCAUGAGAAACUGCCGGGCUUGAGUGUGGGAGAGGUGGGUGGAAUUCCUGGUGUAGCGGUGAAAUGCGUAGAUAUCAGGAGGAACACCUGUGGCGAAAGCGGCUCACUGGACCAUAACUGACGCUGAUGCACGAAAGCUAGGGGAGCAAACAGG